CUUUUCCCAGCAGAGUUCAACUCCCUAUCUUCUUCCACUAGCUUCUGACUGCUCUAAUGAAAACCACUUUGAUUCAGUGGCCAAGAGUUAAACGAGGCUCUCGAAAUGUGCUCACUGGCGGGCUGUGGGUCCUUAGAGGAGGUAAAGUCUUGGUUUUUUUUUUUAGUGAAUCUAGCCCUAGUUCCCUGGUUCCUAUAUCUGGCUGAAUGUCAUGAUCAGGGAAACUAGUUAAACAUCUACAUUCCUGAUGCAAUUCCAAUGUCACUGACUCAGAAUUUGAGGUGGCUGGCGGCUGAGGACCACAGGAGGCCCAGGAAUCUGAAUCUGAAGUGUCCAGGCGAUUCUGACAUUCAGACGGCUAGUCGAAACCCUUGGUGUAAAUCUCUUCCCAGGUUAACAGGUAGAUGGAAUCUGGAGGCCCUAGGACUUGCUACUACAUCUAUUACAAGCAGGAAUUUCCAAGAAGACUAACAGACCUGAAUUCUUUUAUCUCACAAUCCUGGAAUUGCUAGGAAUCUUAAAGGUCAUUGAGUGGGAUAUGUACAUUUUGAAGACUGCCUUAGCUAUCCAAAGGACAGGCAAUGACAUCAAGAUUAGUGAGGCGCAUAAUUCUGGGAUGAUGUGACAAAUGAAUACACUUCUCCUCAUCUACCCCCUUCCUGUAAUUACAAAGCUUUUGUUGGGUGCUAUGGACCAAAGGAAUCAGUCACCUGGACUCUGCAGUGUGGCCUGGUUGCCAUGGGCAGACUUGUGAGCUGGGACUGUUUUGCAUACAAAGGAGAGCACCUAUGACCGUACAUAUUGAAAAUUCAAUUGCAGGUGUAUUUGCAAAUUGGAUUUUGAGGGGGAAGUUUAAGCAAAUCCUUUUGAAAGCGAAUCCCUCCAAGGUGUGAGUAAUGAAGAAAUAAAAGAAAAGUGACAAUCAAAAACCUAUUAAAAUCUAGUUUCCAGAGAAGACUCUGUCUAAUGACAUUUAUGCUUUCAUAGCUAGACAUUUAACAGUCAUUUUGUGUCAGUUGCUUCCUUUAUAAAUGCCACGUGACAGGUUUUUCAGUUCUCUCUGUUUCUAAGACCCUAAUCCCCACCACUCUUAGAUGCUUGAAAUGAGCUGGUGACGCUGAGAGAUGAGGUUCUCUGUGCCUCUGGAUUUCUCUACAGGAACCAAUAAUGACGCCUCAAGCACCAAUAUAUGAAA